rnacentral:ncRNA from 1 species
AUUAUAUUUUUAAAUUUGACUCAUAUAUUAAAUAAGAUUGACAGAAAACAGGGUAAAUUGCAUAGAACUUCUAUUUUUUUAUAGAACAAUUUGCAGCCAAGCGUAUAUUAAAUAAAUAUAAAAGGAAUAUAUGAAGGUUCAACGACUAGUAGGUGAGUACUUUAUUUACAAUAAUCCUGCCACGAGCGCCCUGCAAUCAAUUUAUUGAUUGAAGACAUAGUCUGACCCCUCUUGAAAAAGAGGG